rnacentral:lncRNA from 10 species
GGAUGACUGCUUUUUCCCCUCUAGCUCUCAGACUAGGAGCUUGGUCAUGAACUAAAGAGAGGACUAUCCAGAUCCCUCUCCAGUGCCAGAAGCUACAAAUGCACCAGCAGAGUUCUGGGCUGUGACAGAACCAUAUUGGAAAUUCAGUGAUCCUCCAGCUCUCCCUAUGCUGCUUUAGUCCUGGCUAAGUCUCAUUCUCUUGCCCAAGUAUACAGACCUUUAACCCUCUGUCAUCUGAUCUCAAUUUUCUGAGAGUUGUUUUACCCAAACUUUGGAAGCCUACAAGAUUUUCAGCCCAGAUAACACACUUUUCCUCCCUAAAACAACAGUGGAAUUUGGGGGGAUUUUACAAGUAAUCCGUAGGGGAUGAUUCCAAAAUCCCUGGGUUCUCCAAGGUUUCUGGAAAACAGACAGACAAACAAAAAAAAAUAUUUCAUUUAGCAAGCAUAGAAAAUGUCUGUUUUACUCAUCAAAUAGAAAACACAGAGCCAACCCUGCAAAAAGAAAAUUUGGCUUUGAAAAUGUGAGUUCCUUCCUAAAACCUGCUUUAAUUAGAACAAGAGAGAAAAGAAAGAAAGAAAAGGACAGAAAGCUAUUUAAAAGAAAACUUGUUUCUGAAAAGGGUUACUGGCUUUUGUACAAAACUCCUUUGUGUCACUGUUUUCUCCCUAGUGUGAGAAUGAAUCUAAAAAUAGGAGCUCUAGUUUUUAUUAACUGGACAGCUACUGUGUGUCCUGCUGGGGUGGGAUUUUUUUUUGAUUAUUGAUUCUAAGAGUAGGCUUAUGUACCUCUGUCCACCCCAGGGAGGUGAAAUGACUCAGUGUUCCCAAUUACCUGCCUAAUCUCAGAAGUACAUUGUUAGUUUUUUUCUCUUUUCACAGGAUUGCCUUCUAUGUAAAAUAUCACAUACACACAUACACACACACCUUCUUCCUAAAAAAAAAAAAGCCAGUCCAUUGCAUUUUAAAAUAAACCUGUCUUAUCUUCCUGAAUACAUUGCAAAGUCAAUAGCAAAGGAAGAUUCAUCCUUGAAGGUGACCUGUCUAGUGUUCAACAUAGACUGAGAAACUGAAG